GUGGCAUUUGGAGUCCUGGGUUCUGAACACACAAAGAGCGAGUUAGAUGACCUCACAGCGCUCCUUCUCCUACAAAGGGAGGUAUACAAGAAGGUCAGUUCUUUCGGUUCAACUGCAUAAACAAGUCCAAAUGGCUGGAUCAUCGUUCCCACCUCCUCUUCCCCCCAGAUUUGUGCUUUUGAUGAUUUUUUCCCUAAGCAAGGCACGUGUAUGGACUUCAAGGCCAGAGAACCCCGGGAUUUGGAGAGCUUUGCCUGGUACAGCUCUGUUGAUGAGGAUAAUGGUAAUGACACGCUGCUUGCAGAGAACACCAAGAAGGAAAGUGUACAACUGGUGA
rnacentral:lncRNA from 12 species